GCUAUGCUUUUUAGGCUUGAACUUUAAGCGUUGUAAUCAUUAUUUGUUUUUUGUUAUUUAAGUUAAACUUUUGGUUGAAUAGUUGUUUUUUUGUUUUUAUUUAUUAAUAAUGGUUUAAAUAAGGGUUUAUGAAGCGGAUUAGUACCCGGGGUAAUCUUUUUUUAGUAAUGCGGGAGUAAAGUUUUGUUUAAACCGAAAAUAUAUUGGCUGGCCUUAGAGUGUUUCUUGGAAGAUGUAGAUUAAACGGAAAGUCCUCUUUAUUGAUUAUUUUUUUGGCUCAUGUAUGAUUGUUUUAACUUUAAUAUUAUUUAUUUUAUUUUAAGGUUUUUUUCUGUGAAAGCAGAUAGAUAUUUGGUAUAUAUUUAAUUUUCUAUGUGUUACAAUUUUUAGUUUAAUUGGAUAUUUUUUGAAAUUGGAAAGAAAAGUAAAUGUUUUUUUAUAUGAUGUUGAAUUAUUUAAGUAAGGUG
rnacentral:rRNA from 1 species